UUUUCUAAAAUUGUCAAAUAAUAAAGAAUCUACGAACGAAUUUGAGACGGAGAAGUAGAAAAUUAUUCCACUCAAGUUUUCAACCUCGUUGACUGUGGUGUUGGGUUCCAAACUCAUCGGCUUCUUCAUUCUCUGAUCGGAGCUGUUGCCUUCUCUUUGCGACCUUCACCACACCAUGGCCACUCAACCCACCAACCAUCCAAACUCAGUAUACGAUUUUACUGUCAAGCAGGAUACUAAAGGUGAUGAUGUUGAUCUUGUCACUUACAAAGGAAAGGUAUUGGUCAUUGUUAAUGUUGCUUCCAAAUGUGGCAUGACCAACUCAAAUUAUGUGGAGUUGAAUCAACUAUAUGAGAAGUACAAAGACAAAGGGUUGGAGAUUCUGGCAUUUCCAUGUAAUCAAUUUGGGGAGGAAGAACCUGGAAGCAAUGAUCAAAUUAAGGAGUUUGUCUGCACUCGCUUUAAAUCUGAAUUUCCCAUCUUUGAUAAGAUUGAAGUGAAUGGGGACAAUUCUGCUCCUUUAUAUAAAUUCUUGAAGUCUGGUAAGUGGGGAAUAUUUGGGGAUGACAUUCAGUGGAACUUUGCCAAGUUUCUAGUUGACAAGGAUGGGCAAGUGGUAGAUCGCUAUUAUCCCACCACAUCUCCUCUUAGCCUUGAGCGAGACAUCCGUAAGCUACUUGGUUUGUCUGAAUGAAAGGAUUCAGCUGGGAGGAGAGCGUGUGAUGAACGUCAAAGGAUCUAGUAUUGACUUUGUUAUGUUACCCUUGAAAAAUCUGAUUUUGUGCAUAAAGGUGUUUUAUCAUCUGAACAAAAUUUGCUUAUUCCCAUUGAAAACAUGAUGUCUGGUUUGGUUAUGCUUAGUUGGGAUUAUGGGAGCAUAAAUCUAAGACAUAUAAUCAUAUGCCAAAAUAUGAAAAAGUUGUAUAAGGUUGUUUGAAGAAAAAUUCAUAUAACUUUAUUCUCAUACUUGAGUAAUUCAUUGAGAAGCUCAUUGACCGUAAAUAACAGUACUUAAUAAAACCUCCAAGGCAAAUAGGGCUAAUUGCAAUAAGGUGGCAUUGUGGAUCCAACUCUCUCAUUAACAAAAUAUUAACAUUUGUCGACAAAAAAAAAAAAUUAGGACUAAUUAUGUCUUAUUUCCUAUGAUAUUUCCUAUGAUUCAACUUAUUUUUAUUACAUAAGCACGUAAUUAUUCAUUUCAAUGAGGAUAUUGAAGGUAUUUUUGUUUGAGCAAAAGCAUGGAAUGUAGUAUGCAAAAGGAUUUCUGAUCAGAACCAAAAAGAGUAAUCAAAGACCUGGUUUGCAUAGUAGAGCUUUUAACCAGGCAAAUAAGGCUGUGUUCUCAACAUGUACAAACUGUUCCCUUCAAAUUAUUUUAACUAAUAAAACCAAACAAAACUGUAUUGUUAAAUGAUGUUUUAAUAAUAAAAAGAAUACACAACCCAACAUUUUGUAUACACUAAUUUAUUAUUUUAUUUAUUUAUUUUAACAAAUUAUAAAAAAAAAACUUCAUCCCGUCUCUUUUUCCUUAAAAAAAUAUGAAACAUUUCCAAGCAGUAUUCUUGCUAAUAUAACAUACCAGUUAGGAUUUGGUCCAGCUCAGUCACAAUUAUGUUCAGUUCAGUUUAUUACGCUGCAGAUUGCAGAGACAUUAAAUGCCAGGGCCAAGGACAGGCAAAUAAUUGAGCUCAGUCCACUCAGCAAUUGGAGUAAAGUGAACCAUUAUCAUCAAGGGAUCCCAGAACUCAUCAAAUUCAACUCGGGCUUUAGAAGAAUCAAGAUACCUGCACUGGGCUUCCAGCAAUAAGCACAGCAACACCACCACCAAUAACAUGACCAUCAGGACUAGAAAGUGAAACACUAAUGCCACCAGUUCUAUUGGAGGGUCCACCAUCUUCAGC